rnacentral:tRNA from 1 species
ACCUCCGAGGUCGAGUGAAUAACACACUAGGCUUGCACGCUAGUGGUUCCGGGAUCGAGUCCCGGCGGAGUCA